GGGUGAGUAACACGUGGGUAACCUGCCUGUAAGACUGGGAUAACUCCGGGAAACCGGAGCUAAUACCGGAUAGUUCCUUGAACCGCAUGGUUCAAGGAUGAAAGACGGUUUCGGCUGUCACUUACAGAUGGACCCGCGGCGCAUUAGCUAGUUGGUGGGGUAAUGGCUCACCAAGGCGACGAUGCGUAGCCGACCUGAGAGGGUGAUCGGCCACACUGGGACUGAGACACGGCCCAGACUCCUACGGGAGGCAGCAGUAGGGAAUCUUCCGCAAUGGACGAAAGUCUGACGGAGCAACGCCGCGUGAGUGAUGAAGGUUUUCGGAUCGUAAAGCUCUGUUGUUAGGGAAGAACAAGUGCGAGAGUAACUGCUCGCACCUUGACGGUACCUAACCAGAAAGCCACGGCUAACUACGUGCCAGCAGCCGCGGUAAUACGUAGGUGGCAAGCGUUGUCCGGAAUUAUUGGGCGUAAAGGGCUCGCAGGCGGUUUCUUAAGUCUGAUGUGAAAGCCCCCGGCUCAACCGGGGAGGGUCAUUGGAAACUGGGAAACUUGAGUGCAGAAGAGGAGAGUGGAUUCCACGUGUAGCGGUGAAAUGCGUAGAGAUGUGGAGGACACCAGUGGCGAAGGCGACUCUCUGGUCUGUAACUGACGCUGAGGAGCGAAAGCGUGGGGAGCGAACAGGAUUAGAUACCCUGGUAGUCCACGCCGUAAACGAUGAGUGCUAAGUGUUAGGGGGUUUCCGCCCCUUAGUGCUGCAGCUAACGCAUUAAGCAACUCCGCCUGGGGAGUACGGUCGCAAGACUGAAACUCAA
rnacentral:rRNA from 1 species